ensembl:sense_intronic Gm37214 predicted gene, 37214
ACUCUCCAGCAGAUGGACCCAGGCAAUCUGACACUCAGAGGGUGAGAGUCCAUGAUGUGGGAGUGAAGGAACACACGAGAGCUCAUCUCUUGAUCUACAACAUGGAGGCACAGAAGUGCAGGCAUGCUUCGAAGUGCAGGAGCCUUUUGAAACCCCACAGCCCACACCCAGGGACACAUCUCCUCCAACAAGACACAAGACUUCCUAAACCUAAACAGUCCUGCUGAUUAGGGACCAAAUCCUCGAAUAUAUGAAUGAGCUAAUAGGGCCCUUCUCUCUCAAAGCAACUGCUCUUUUCAUCUUCUGUUAUCACUGCAGUGUCCUCUGUCUGUUAUCACUGCAGGGCGCUGAGGAUAUACCCACAGAAAUCUGUUGCUUCCUGAAACUGCUGCAGUCUAGGAGGUCAAAUAACAGCUACUCCUUUGGACAUUUAAUCCGUGUAUACUUUUGUAUAGGACAGCCUCGUUACUGAAAAGCUAGAAUUGAGCUUCACUCACAGUGCCUUGCUUAUAUCAAACACAAUAUCUAAUGUAUGAAGAAAUCACUAAGCACCUUAACUUCGGGGAGAGACACAUCAAAUACGCAUUUUGAUUAUAUACAUUCGAAUUGUUAAAUGUUUUAAACACAAAGGAGCGUAGAAUAUGAACUGCUAACACUAGGUACCCAGAUUUAAUAGGCGAGGAAUGUUGUCAUGUUUCACCUUCAGGAAAGGAAGGAUUGAAAAAUGCAAUACCGGGCUGGUGAGAUGGCUCAGUGGGUUAGAGCACCCGACUGCUCUUCCGAAGGUCCAGAGUUCAAAUCCCAGCAACCACAUGNNNNNNNNNNNNNNNNNNNNNNNNNGCUCACAACCAUCCGUAACAAGAUCUGACCCCCUCUUCUGAGUGUCUGAAGACAGCUACAAUGUACUUACAUAUAAUAAAUAAAUAAAUAAAUAAAUC